rnacentral:rRNA from 1 species
UACGAAUCGUCCUAACGUUGUUCGGAUUCACUGGGUUUAAAGGGCGCGUAGGCGGUGCGUUAAGUCGGCGGUGAAAUACUUCGGCUCAACCGGAGAAUGGCCGCUGAAACUGGCGUGCUCGAGGGAGGUAGAGGUGCGUGGAACUUCCGGUGGAGCGGUGAAAUGCGUUGAUAUCGGGAGGAACACCUGUGGCGAAAGCGGCGCACUGGACCAUAACUGACGCUGAGGCGCGAAAGCUAGGGGAGCAAACAGG